UACGGGGGGGGGCAAGCGUUGUUCGGAAUUACUGGGCGUAAAGGGCUCGUAGGCGGCCAACUAAGUCGAACGUGAAAUCCCCGGGCUCAACCCGGGAACUGCGUCCGAUACUGGAAGGCUUGAAUCCGGGAGAGGGAUGCGGAAUUCCAGGUGUAGCGGUGAAAUGCGUAGAUAUCUGGAGGAACACCGGUGGCGAAGGCGGCAUCCUGGACCGGCAUUGACGCUGAGGCGCGAAAGCCAGGGGAAGCAAAGCGGGAUUAAGAAACCCGUU
rnacentral:rRNA from 1 species